rnacentral:lncRNA from 1 species
UAUUAUGAAAAAGCAUUUAAUCAAGCUUAAAUGACAGAUGAUAUUAAAAUACUUGUUUUAUAUAUACUUAGAGAUAUAGAAAUUAUAGACAUAAAGAAAAUAAUAUGGGAAAAAUUACAAGAUUAUGAAGAGGAAGAAUUAUUAAACAGUAUAGAAAACUUACUCAUAUAUUAUGAACACCAAUACUAUUUAGAUUCAGAUGAAUAUUAUACAGACUAAAAAUGUCAGAAUAUAUUAAAAAAAUUAGAGAAAACCAAGAAGACCUACGUAAAGAAAUUGAUUAUAGAAAAUAAAUUAGAAAAAUAAUGGAAAAUAUAAUAGAAAAAUUAAAAUGGAUAGAUGAAACCUUGAAAAAUUUAGAAAAAAGC